rnacentral:rRNA from 1 species
AGAGUUUGAUCCUGGCUCAGAAUCAACGCUGGCGGCGUGCCUAACACAUGCAAGUCGAACGAGAAAGUGGAGCAAUCCACGAGUAAAGUGGCGCACGGGUGAGUAACACGUGACUGACCUACCUUUUAGUGGGGGAUAACCUAGGGAAACCUGGGCUAAUACCGCAUAAUACCUACGGGUCAAAGUCCGCCUCGGCGGACGCUGAAAGAGGGGGUCGCGGCCGAUUAGCUAGUUGGCGGGGUAAUGGCCCACCAAGGCGAUGAUCGGUAUCCGGCCUGAGAGGGCGCACGGACACACUGGAACUGAAACACGGUCCAGACUCCUACGGGAGGCAGCAGUGGGGAAUUUUGCGCAAUGGGGGAAACCCUGACGCAGCAACGCCGCGUGGAGGAUGAAGUCCCUUGGGACGUAAACUCCUUUCGAUCGGGACGAUAAUGACGGUACCGGAAGAAGAAGCCCCGGCUAACUUCGUGCCAGCAGCCGCGGUAAUACGAGGGGGGCAAGCGUUGUUCGGAAUUAUUGGGCGUAAAGGGUGCGUAGGUGGUUCGGCAAGUCUUGUGUGAAAUCUUCAGGCUCAACCUGAAGUCUGCACAAGAAACUGCCGGGCUUGAGUAUGGGAGAGGUGAGUGGAAUUUCCGGUGUAGCGGUGAAAUGCGUAGAUAUCGGAAGGAACACCUGUGGCGAAAGCGGCUCACUGGACCAUUACUGACA